ensembl:lncRNA
UCAAGAACUUGAUUUGUUUUACGAUUUUGGCGAAGAUGGUUGUGUUUGCCUUUGUGUGGGAAAGAUGGCCGUGGUUUUUGUCACCCUAUGCAGAGUUUGCACACAGAAACAAAAUUUUGCCAAAUGCUUUUAUUUGCGAACCGAAUUGCCUGCAAAUGGAAACAUUCAUGAACCAAGGUAUUUCGGUAGUUGAGGGUGAAGAUCAGUGUAUAGUUUUAAAGGCUUCUCAGAUGAUUCUUCUAACAUUUCUACAACUUCCUCCAGGAGAACAGAUUCAAAAUCUGCAGCCCCAAGCUACCACAAAUUCAUACCAGUUGUAUUACUUGGGAACCUGUGGAUACAAAGGGCUGACUGUAUAUAAUAUGAAUUAAAUAGGAUCAGCAUGAUAUCAGACUUCAUUUAAAGUUACUACCUCCAGUUAUGGACCCAAAACCGAUGAAGCUGAAACAUCCCAGGACACCACAGCAAUCACACGGGAUGGCCAGGAUGUCUUCAGUUACCCAGAGAAACAUCUGUCAGACACCGCGUGACCUUCUAGCUGGAGAAACUGUAAAGUUUUAACAUGAGAAUGGUAUCUCCCUUCUAAUGAUAGCAUAGGUUUCCUAAUUGGGUUGUACCCAAAAGUAGGGCCUCAACCUGAUUUAGUGAGGUGAGCUAGUUAACAUUCUAAGUUAACGGGAAGCCUCAUAACUUCUUAAACAAUAAAGUCACCCUGGAAUGAUAUUUUAGACAUCAUCAUCUUAAGGGAAUUUCUCCAAAAAUAUGAAUUCUUGUGUGUUUAAAAAGAAA